rnacentral:rRNA from 1 species
AAUCAACGCUGGCGGCGUGCCUAACACAUGCAAGUCGCACGAGAAAGGGCUUCGGCCUGAGUAAAGUGGCGCACGGGUGAGUAACACGUGAAUCAUCUACCCUCGAGUGGGGAAUAACCUAGAGAAAUCUGGGCUAAUACCGCAUAACACUUACGAGUCAAAGCAGCAAUGCGCUUGGGGAGGAGUUCACGGCCGAUUAGCUAGUUGGCGGGGUAAUGGCCCACCAAGGCGAUGAUCAGUAUCCGGCCUGAGAGGGCGCACGGACACACUGGAACUGAAACACGGUCCAGACUCCUACGGGAGGCAGCAGUGGGGAAUUUUGCGCAAUGGGGGAAACCCUGACGCAGCAACGCCGCGUGGAGGAUGAAGUAUCUUGGUACGUAAACUCCUUUCGAUGGGGAAGAUAAUGACGGUACCCAUAGAAGAAGCCCCGGCUAACUUCGUGCCAGCAGCCGCGGUAAUACGAGGGGGGCAAGCGUUGUUCGGAAUUAUUGGGCGUAAAGGGUGCGUAGGCGGUUUGACAAGUCUUAUGUGAAAUCUUCGGGCUCAACCCGAAGCCUGCAUGAGAAACUGUUGAGCUUGAGUAUGGGAGAGGUGAGUGGAAUUUCCGGUGUAGCGGUGAAAUGCGUAGAUAUCGGAAGGAACACCUGUGGCGAAAGCGGCUCACUGGACCAUAACUGACGCUGAGGCACGAAAGCUAGGGGA